CAAUACAAUACAAAAUAUGUAUAAAACAAUUAUAUUAUUUAUUUUUAUUCUAACAUCUUAUUGUGCACUUUCAUCAUUCAUUUAAAUCACACUCAAAAGGUCACAAAACCAAGGGAAUUUUCCUAAUCUUGCAGCACUUGAAAUCCUAAUUUCAAGUCUGUUUCCAGCUCUGGCUGACAGACAGCUGCUGACAGCCAUGUGAAGAAGAACCAGCAGAGAUUUGGGGAAAUCUUCAAUAAAACAGCGUAACUAACAGGCAGCACAUUGAGAGCGUGAUAAGAAGGACAGAGUGGCUCUGCAUCUCACUCGCCGCUCCCCAAACACGCUGCUGGCACGGCCGUUGAGCAAUGCCAUGCCAGACUCUGUUAGCACCCAAAAAAAUAAAUAAAUAAACAAAUCAAGUCGCCAUCCUCAGUAAUCCCCUAAAUUCAAGCUUAUUCAUGUUAAAUCUGGAAGAGAAAAGCCCCAACCCCGUUCUGUUUGAACCCUCCCCCUCUCGUCAGUUCCAGUGUCAGCAGUUGUUGUUUUGCAAUCGGACAUCUUAUGGCACACACAGAUAUGCUGGGACAUGGACAGCUUGUCCCGCCAAAGCCUGUUUUGUCUUGUUCCACUCUUCCUCGUCCUCCAGUUUUACGGACAGGAGAGGAAUAACUGUGUGGCUGGGUGACAGGCCAUCUAUCCAUGCAGACUCAUGCCGUUUCCUUCAGGACUGCUGCCCCACUAAUAGGAACAUGCCCUGGAACUCAAGCUGGAAAAUACACCUCAUUCCUGCCCGCUUGUUUUUCAGGCCGAUGAGGAUCCUCAGUCAUCAAUAUGAAUCGGAGUCGGAGUGGGAUUUUCCCUUCUUUAUCCGUUACUGUGAGAGCCGGCAGCCUGAUGGAUCUCUGCCAUCACUUCUGAAUGAUGUUUGCCUUUCAUUUCUAUUUCUUCAUCUCUCUUUCUCAUUUCUGUCUUCAUCUUUCUUCUGCUUCUGCUGCUGCAGCUCAGGCUGUUCUGAGCGCAAAUAAAGACAUCUUUGAAACCUUCCACAGAAAUGUGCAGUUUUGGGGGUCACUCAUCUGCAGAUGAAAUGACUAUAUUACAUAGGCCUGCUGUCAGCGGUGAAUCAGAUGAGCCAGCGAACUGAUAUACAUGUUUUUAUGGGUCACAUAAGCAUGUCAGAACAGCACUGAAGAAUAUUUAAUACAGAGACUAUCAAGUACUGUCAUUUCAUUCUUUUAUUACUGCUUGCCAAUAAGAUAAUGUACAUUGAGGACGUCUAUAUGUGAAAUAAGUUACAUAUUAACCAAAACUGUUUUUUAUGACUGACACCAAUAAUCCAUAUAUAACUGUGUCCAAUAAAUAAUAUGAAGAUUUAAAUUUUAAUUAAAAA
ensembl:lncRNA